CCAAGUCCUCCUGAUCGGGGCCUCUCCCAGAGUGGGUGUCAGGCCUUUACUGGCACUCGACGCUGUGGUUCUGACGUCCUUGGAGUCGGGUUGUUGAGAAUGCAGCCCAAAGUGGGUGGUAAACUCCAUCUAAGGCUAAAUACCGACACGAGUCCGAUAGCGGACAAGUACCGUGAGGGAAAGUGAAAAGAACUUUGAAGAGAGAGUUCAAGAGUACGUGAAACUGCUUAGAGGUAAACGGGUGGAUCCGCAAAGUCGACCCGGGGAAUUCAACUUGCCGUUCUCGGAUGGCGGACUGUUGGGAUAGGGAUCCGUAAAGACCCGCCUGGCGUUCGGCUGUCUUCGGCGAGUGCACUUUCCUCGGGUAGAGUGCCACGACCGGUUUCGGGGCGGUCACAAGCCAGUCGGGAAGGUGACUUCCUCCUCGGAGGAAGUGUUAUAGCCCGGCCAGGUCGACUCGUUCCGAGACCGAGGAUUUGCCGCGUCUCACCUGCCCUCGGCCCUCUGCUCUGCGUUCGACUGGGGAAGCACUGCUUGCAGUUCUCUCCGACCGCGUGGGUGGAUCGGCUGGGAAGCACGAGGCGCUGCGGGUCAGUGGCGAAUCGGUCGGUCCUCCACCCGACCCGUCUUGAAACACGGACCAAGGAGUCUAACAUGUGCGCGAGUCAUGGGGUUCUGUACGAAACCUAAAGGCGCAAUGAAAGUGAAGGUCAACCUCCGGUCGGCCUAGGUAGGAUCCCCGUCGAGGGGCGCACUACCGGCCCGUCUCAACCACAUCGUUGGUGGGGCGGAGCAAGAGCGUACACGUUGGGACCCGAAAGAUGGUGAAC
rnacentral:rRNA from 1 species